AUUUGAUUUUAAAACAGGUUUGUUUUAAUAAGUUUAACUACAUUUUGUCAGUUUUAUUAGUUUUAAUCAACUGGAGACUUCAGCUGAUUUUUACUACAAAUAUUUUUAUAUUACGGCCCUGUGUACACUACUCUGGAAAUAUUUAUAUACUCUUCUUUCUAACAGAACUGCUGUAGUACUCAGCCUGUACUACUCAGGUUGUAGUACUCAGGUUGUAGUACUCAGGUUGUAGUACUCAGGCUGCAGUACUCAGGCUGUACUACUCGGGUUGUAGUACGCAGGCUGUAGGUUGUAGUACGCAGGCUGUAGUACUCAGGUUGUGGUACUCAGGCUGCAGUACUCAGGCUGUACUACUCAGGUUGUAGUACGCAGGCUGUAGGUUGUAGUACGCAGGCUGUAGUACUCAGGUUGUGGUACUCAGGUUGUAGUACUCAGGUUGUAGUACUCAGGUUGUAGUACUCAGGCUGUAGGUUGUAGUACUCAGGUUGUAGUACUCAGUUUGUAGUACCCAGGCUGUAGGUUGUAGUACUCAGGUUGUAGUACUCAGGUUGUAGUACUCAGGCUGUAGGUUGUAGUACUCAGGUUGUAGUACUCAGGUUGUAGGUUGUAGUACUCAGGCUGUAGUACUCAGGCUGUAGGUUGUAGUACUCAGGUUGUAGUACUCAGGUUGUAGGUUGUAGUACUCAGGCUGUAGUACUCAGGCUGUAGGUUGUAGUACUCAGGCUGUAGGUUGUAGUACUCAGGUUGUAGUACUCAGGUUGUAGUACUCAGGUUGUAGUACUCAGGUUGUAGGUUGUAGUACUCAGGCUGUAGUACUCAGGCUGUAGUACUCAGGCUGUAGUACUCAGGUUGUAGGCUGUAGUACUCAGGCUGUAGUACUCAGGUUGUAGGCUGUAGUACUCAGGCUGUAGUACUCAGGCUGUAGUACUCAGGUUGUAGGCUGUAGUACUCAGGCUGUAGUACUCAGGCUGUAGUACUCAGGUUGUAGGCUGUAGUACUCAGGCUGUAGUACUCAGGCUGUAGUACUCAGGUUGUAGGCUGUAGUACUCAGGCUGUAGUACUCAGGCUGUAGUACUCAGGUUGUAGGCUGUAGUACUCAGGCUGUAGUACUCAGGCUGUAGUACUCAGGUUGUAGGCUGUAGUACUCAGGCUGUAGUACUCAGGCUGUAGUACUCAGGUUGUAGUACUCAGGCUGUAGUACUCAGGCUGUAG